UUUUAAUAGCUUAUAAAGAGUAUAAUAUUGAAGAUAUUAGGGAGAAGUUAUUUCUUAAAAUAU
rnacentral:tRNA from 1 species